rnacentral:tRNA from 1 species
GCUCAGUUGGUUAAGCAUCUGACUCUUGAUUGUAGCUCAGGUCUUGAUCUCAGGGCUGUGAGUUCAAGCCUCACAUUGGGCU